GAUGAACGCUGGCGGCGUGCCUAAUACAUGCAAGUCGAGCGAACGGACGAGAAGCUUGCUUCUCUGAUGUUAGCGGCGGACGGGUGAGUAACACGUGGAUAACCUACCUAUAAGACUGGGAUAACUUCGGGAAACCGGAGCUAAUACCGGAUGAUAUUUUGAACCGAAUGGUUCAAAAGUGAAAGACGGUCCUGGUGUCACUUAUAGAUGGAUCCGCGCUGCAUUAGCUAGUUGGUAAGGUAACGGCUUACCAAGGCAACGAUGCUUAGCCGACCUGAGAGGGUGAUCGGCCACACUGGAACUGAGACACGGUCCAGACUCCUACGGGAGGCAGCAGUAGGGAAUCUUCCGCAAUGGGCGAAAGCCUGACGGAGCAACGCCGCUUGGUGGAUGAAGGUCUUCGGAUCGUAAAACUCUGUUAUUAGGGAGGAACAUAUGUGUAAGUAACUGUGCACAUCGUGACGGUACCUAAACAGAAAGCCACGGCUAACUACGUG
rnacentral:rRNA from 1 species